GACGAACGCUGGCGGCGUGCUUAACACAUGCAAGUCGAACGGAAAGGCCCUGCUUUUGUGGGGUGCUCGAGUGGCGAACGGGUGAGUAACACGUGAGUAACCUGCCCUUGACUUUGGGAUAACUUCAGGAAACUGGGGCUAAUACCGGAUAGGAGCUCCUGCUGCAUGGUGGAGGUUGGAAAGUUUCGGCGGUUGGGGAUGGACGCGCGGCUUAUCAGCUUGUUGGUGGGGUAGUGGCUUACCAAGGCUUUGACGGGUAGCCGGCCUGAGAGGGUGACCGGCCACAUUGGGACUGAGAUACGGCCCAGACUCCUACGGGAGGCAGCAGUGGGGAAUAUUGCACAAUGGGCGGAAGCCGGAUGCAGCAACGCCGCGUGCGGGAUGACGGCCUUCGGGUUGUAAACCGCGUUCGCCUGGGACGAAGCGUGAGUGACGGUAAUGGGUAAAGAAGCACCGGCUAACUACGUG
rnacentral:rRNA from 1 species